UUGCACCAUCGGAUCCUCCAGACUGCGAUGGAGUCCCCACACAAGGUUAUGGGAUUCCUCGGGGUGCACGGCCUCAAAGGGCCCUGGCCUGCGGCUGGCCAAGCCCCCUCCCUGAGGUCGUCCGGCAUGUACCUUGGCCACCGCCUGUUACCCACCCGACUGACGUCGCCGCUUCCGCCCUCGAGCAGGAGCCUGAACGCGGCCCGCCUGGACCGAGACAUGCUAUUCACCCGGGUCUCCUUCUGGCGCCGAUCGCGCCGCACGUACCCGAAGAAGGGACGAGGAAAGACAAGCAGAGUCCGCAGGAUGCAUGGCCCGAUUCCGCGGCAGGACGGUUUAUCCUAGACGACGGAGAUAUAGCCGCAGUGCCACAAGGGCCACUUGCGCUGUGGUUGUGUGCGCGUCUGCUUCCUGACCUGUUCGUGGUGUAGUAGGCAGACUGAGGGGAGUUUAUUGUGAAGUUAUGGGCCAUUGCACUGAUGUGUGGCAGUGCGUCUCGCUAGCUCUCACGCUCUUACAAUCUCUCGAGGUCUCAUGGAGCCUGUCAUUGAGCUCACGUGUUUGCGUGCAUGCCGCCGGAUACAAACGUGCGCACGCAAACUGUGACUCCACACAAGACGAGGUGUCGCGGCGGGUGGCAGUCAAGCUCGGCUCCCGUUUACCCAUCGUUCUCUGUUGCCAGCUCACGUGCAGGGCCACUAGUACACACAAGCAUAAGAGUGUGAGUGCAGGAUGCCCGCCCAGCUUUCCUUUUCUUCGCCUAUCCUUCCGGAUCUUCCUCUAAGCUCGAUUGCCUGCGGGUGUGCAUGUGCGCACUGCGCCACAGCUCUUCUUGUAGGCAGCGAACCGCACCAGCAACGGUGAAUCAUGCGCAGCAAUACACACGCACGGCACCGCGCGCAGUUGCAAGGGCCGUGUGGCCCUUUCCUCGCCAUUUCCUCUCUUCACUCAUCUCUUACGCUCUCGUUGUGCAUCGGUGGUACACUAUUCGUCUAUUGGCCUGCGUGUUUUGGCGGGGGCGAGUGCUGGUGCGAGGGACGCCACGGACGACUGUGGCGUGAACCGCGGGCCUUGGAAG
rnacentral:misc_RNA from 1 species